CAGAAGAUUGAAACUGGACCUGUAUUUCUCACCAAAUGCUAAAUUAAAAUAAAAGUGCAUCAAAGAUCCAAACGUUAAAACAGGUUAACAUUCAUAUACCACCAAACUGGAUUGAAAGAGACAGAAACAGAGCCCUAAAGUAUGGAGGAAGUAGGUCGAGUCUACACGAUCACCAACUCAGUAUUACAGAAAGGGAAGGAUUCUUGCUGGUAGCACCAAGACACCAGAAGAUGCUAAUGAGGAAACUAAGGCACAAAGAGUUUAAGUAACAUGUCCAGGAUCAUACAAAUG